CAUCUCAUUGGUUUUCCUCUCGGAUGUUGCGUUCGAGUGUUGCCGUUCCAGCUGCGCUUCAUCCUUCUUCUCAUCGCACGGGUUUAGCUCAAAGGGAUUUCUAGGUUUCGUUAAAAAAGGGACGAAGAUCUAAGGAAAAAGAACUGGAGUAAUCCAUAUGAGAACCCCCAGUCUGCUCAUCAAUCUGAUUAGAACUAUAAUUCUAAGAGAUGUAGCCAGAAUGAUUGGCAAGAGAUGUAGCAAGAUCAGAAGGUUGCGUGUUCAGAGAAUUGUCUGUAGAGUAAAAAUAUACUAGCUUUUGUUCAUUCUGACGUGAAAAAAUGCCAAUAUAUUUGUGUGUAGAGUAAAAA